rnacentral:rRNA from 1 species
UUCCGGUUGAUCCCGCCAGAGGUUACUGCUAUCGGUGUUCGCCUAAGCCAUGCGAGUCAUAUGUAGCAAUACAUGGCGUACUGCUCAGUAACACGUGGAUAACCUGCCCUUGGGACCGGCAUAACCCCGGGAAACUGGGGAUAAUUCCGGAUAACGCAUAUUUGCUGGAAUGCUUUAUGCGUCAAAAGGAUUCGUCUGCCCAAGGAUGGGUCUGCGGCCUAUCAGGUAGUAGUGGGUGUAAUGUACCUACUAGCCAGCGACGGGUACGGGUUGUGAGAGCAAGAGCCCGGAGAUGGAUUCUGAGACAUGAAUCCAGGCCCUACGGGGCGCAGCAGGCGCGAAAACUUUACAAUGCGGGAAACCGUGAUAAGGGGACACCGAGUGCCAGCAUCAUAUGCUGGCUGUCCGGAUGUGUAAAAUACAUCCGUUAGCAAGGGCCGGGCAAGACCGGUGCCAGCCGCCGCGGUAACACCGGCGGCCCGAGUGGUGAUCGUGAUUAUUGGGUCUAAAGGGUCCGUAGCCGGUUUGGUCAGUCCUCCGGGAAAUCUGAUAGCUUAACUAUUAGGCUUUCGGGGGAUACUGCCAGACUUGGAACCGGGAGAGGUAAGAGGUACUACAGGGGUAGGAGUGAAAUCUUGUAAUCCCUGUGGGACCACCUGUGGCGAAGGCGUCUUACCAGAACGGGUUCGACGGUGAGGGACGAAAGCUGGGGGCACGAACCGGAUUAGAUACCCGGGUAGUCCCAGCCGUAAACGAUGCUCGCUAGGUGUCAGGCAUGGCGCGACCGUGUCUGGUGCCGCAGGGAAGCCGUGAAGCGAGCCACCUGGGAAGUACGGCCGCAAGGCUGAAACUUAAAGGAAUUGGCGGGGGAGCACAACAACGGGUGGAGCCUGCGGUUUAAUUGGAUUCAACGCCGGG